UGUCCCUCCUUUCUAUUGCUGAAUAAAUCCCAUUGUAUGGACAGACCACACACAGGCCAGAGCAGGUAUUUCAGAGGGAGAACAUGGUUUACGGACCCCCAGCCAGUGCUGAUCCUGCAUGAUAGCCAAAGAGGGAAGGAGGGUCUGCAGAGUUAGGGGCAGCCGCCUGCUAGCCAGCGUGAGAAGGAAGGGGUGAGGGCUCUUCUUGCGAAGUCAAACUGUUGAGGGAAGGAAGUUUCUCUUAGGUUUUGUUUUAGGAUGCCUAUAGGGAGACCUAUGAACCGUGAGGGUCCAAAUGCAAAGAACCAGCUGAGGCAAAGAGGUUUGGCGAGCAGGGCGAGCAGGGUCUGAAGGAGGAGAAAGGACCCCGAGGGGAGGGGAUGUACCGAGCGGACCGGAUGCAGACACUUCAUUUUCCAAAUCAGGAUGGAAUAUGUCCGCUCUCUGUAUCCAGACAGUGAAGAGUGAUAAGAGUUAUGAGGAUGUCCACCCUUGAUGGAUUAAAUGUGAAACAGAGAAAACUUGCACAACUGAAUCGUGGAGAGAUAACUUCAGUUAAUCAGAAAUCUGCCGUCGUAUGGAGAACUCAUUCACCCAUGACGCUAGGUCCACGGCAAUGUGGGGGGUUCUUUGCCUUGCCAAACCCCGCUGGUCCAGAGGAGGCCAGGCUUCGGCGUCCGGUCGUCUGAGACGGAGCCCGUUGGUGUGUCACGUCCCUGCAGCCCCCACUCCUGUCCCGCUGCGUGGACAGUGACCGCAGGGCUUUGGGUGGCCUGAGUUGUCUGAAAGGCCAGCUGUGGGACGGAGGGCCGGCUUCUCUGCGCCUUUUCGCCUGGGUGGAGGUCGCGGGGAAGACAGGAGCGCCAGCAGCUACCAGGUGCGCCAGGUGCCGUGUGGGGCCGGCUCUGGAUCCACCUUGACUGGCCUCCCAGCUCCGUGCUCCAUGGCUGUGUGGGUGGCCCCGC